AUAAAUAAGAAUAUGAUGUUGGUUCAGAUUAAGCGCUAAAUAAGGACAUGACACAUGCGAAUCAUACGUUUAUUAUUGAUAAGAUAAUAAAUAUGUGGUGUAAACGUGAGUAAUUUUAUUAGGAAUAAAUGAACUAUAGAAUAAGUUAAAUACUUAAUAAAUUUUAUAUAAAAAUAAUAAUUAUAUAAUAAUAAAGGAUAUAUAUAUAUAUAUUUAUCUAUAGUCAAGCCAAUAAUGGUUUAGGUAGUAGGUUUAUUAAGAGUUAAACCUAGCCAACGAUCCAUAAUCGUUAAUGAAAGUUAGAACGAUCACGUUGACUCUGAAAUAUAGUCAAUAUCUAUAAGAUACAGCAGUGAGGAAUAUUGGACAAUGAUCGAAAGAUUGAUCCAGUUACUUAUUAGGAUGAUAUAUAAAAAUUUUAUCUAUAAAAAUAUAUAAAUAAUAUAUAUAUAUAUAAAUUGAUUAAAAAUAAAAUCCAUAAAUAAUUAAAAUAAUGAUAUUAAUUACCAUAUAAUAAAAAGUAUGGAUAUAUAAUAAUUAUAAUAUUAAUUUAUUAUAAUAAAUUAUAUAUUUUAAUAGUCCUGACUAAUAUUUGUGCCAGCAGUCGCGGUAACACAAAGAGGGCGAGCGUUAAUCAUAAUGGUUUAAAGGAUCCGUAGAAUGAAUUAUAUAAUUUAGAGUUAAUAAAUUUAAUUAAAGAAUUAUAAUAGUAAAGAUGAAAUAAUAAUAAUAAUUAUAAGACUAAUAUAUGUGAAAAUAUUAAUUAAAUAUUAACUGACAUUGAGGGAUUAAAACUAGAGUAGCGAAACGGAUUCGAUACCCGUGUAGUUCUAGUAGUAAACUAUGAAUACAAUUAUUUAUAAUAAAUAUAUAUAUAUAUAAAUAAUAAAUGAAAAUGAAAGUAUUCCACCUGAAGAGUACGUUAGCAAUAAUGAAACUCAAAACAAUAGACGGUUACAGACUUAAGCAGUGGAGCAUGUUAUUUAAUUCGAUAAUCCACGACUAACCUUACCAUAUUUUGAAUAUUAUAAUAAUUAUUAUAAAUUAUUAUAUUACAGGCGUUACAUUGUUGUCUUUAGUUCGUGCUGCAAAGUUUUAGAUUAAGUUCAUAAACGAACAAAACUCCAUAUAUAUAAUCUUAAUUAUAUAUAAUUUUAUAUUAUUUAUUAAUAUAAAGAAAGGAAUUAAGACAAAUCAUAAUGAUCCUUAUAAUAUGGGUAAUAGACGUGCUAUAAUAAAAUGAUAAUAAAAUUAUAUAAAAUAUAUAAAAAAAUAUAUUUAAUUAAUAAUAUAAAACAUUUUAACUUUUAAUAUAUUUUUAUAUUAUAUAUUAAUAUGAAUUAUAAUCUGAAAUUCGAUUAUAUGAAAAAAGAAUUGCUAGUAAUACGUAAAUUAGUAUGUUACGGUGAAUAUUCUAACUGUUUCGCACUAAUCACUCAUCACGCGUUGAAACAUAUUAUUAUCUUAUUAUUUAUUAAUAUCUCUUAAUUAUAUUAUAUAAUUAAUUAAUAUUUAUUUAUAUCAGAAAUAAUAUGAAUUAAUGCGAAGUUGAAAUACAGUUACCGUAGGGGAACCUGCGGUGGGCUUAUAAAUAUC
rnacentral:ncRNA from 1 species